UGAUGUUGGCUGUCAGGGAGAGUUGACUGUCUAGUGUCACCCCGAGGUUCCUGGCAGUCGGGGGCGGGGCCAACACAGAGCUGGUGAAGGUGGUAGUGAGGUCAUGGGUGGGGGAGCCUUUCCCUGGAAGGAAUAGUAGCUCAGUCUUGUCAGGGUUGAUCUUCAGGUGGUGAGCAGACAUCCACUGAGAGAUGCCGGUCAGACAGGCAGAGAUUCGCGCCGCCACCCGUGUUUCGGACGGUGGAAACGAGAAGAUCAGUUGGGUGUCAUCGGCAUAGCUAUGGUAGGAGAAGCCAUGCGAACGAAUGACAGAGCCGAGAGAAUUUGUGUACAGAGAGAAGAGGAGGGGACCCAGGACGGAGCCUUGAGGAACCCCAUAGUGAGAGGAAGAGGAGGGGACCCAGGACGGAGCCUUGAGGAACCCCAUAGUGAGAGGAAGAGGAGGGGACCCAGGACGGAGCCUUGAGGAACCCCAUAGUGAGAGGAAGAGGAGGGGACCCAGAUCCUCUCCACGUUACCCGGUCCGAAGGAAACGGCGAUGUUCAGCGGCCGGGUGACAUUUAAUGGCCGCCCCCUCCCGAGGUCGCUGGAGUCCUCGCAAUUGUAGACCCUUCAUCAACGGAAGAUCUCUCGUCAUGGACGCCCCUCCCCGCCACACUGCGCCCCUUGACCCACCUUGUACCUGCUGACCGAGGGGAGGUGAUCCCGAGACAGGCUCGUCCCUGAAGAUCAACUCAAUAAAUCGCCCCAAGCCAUGUAGUGUCGGGUUUACAUUUGAAUCUGAUUUAUUUUUUAAAUUCACGUCAUCUCUGGAACAGAUUUGCAUUUGCUCGUUCAACGAGUGCAUGUGGGUGUGGACAUAGCGACAGAGAGAAGAAGGAGAGAGGGAGAAAGGAAAGGAACGAGAUGGUUCUCCACACCACCCCUUACUCCGGGGCCUGUCUGCACUUCCUGGAUGGCUUGUCGUGGAGCCUGGUGUUCCCCUGCUACUGGCUCCUGGACCAGCUGCUGGCCUCCUGCGUGGCCACGUCGCUGGAGAAGCGCCGGCGCUCCCAGGACCCCUGCUCCUUCCGCACCCUGUGCGCGGUGAUCUCCGCGCCUCUUUACCUGCUCCUCUUUCUCGCCUCGCUGCCACUCGCCCUGCUGGGCUUCGUCCUCUGGGCUCCGCUGCAGGCCGUCCGCCAGCCGUACCUGUACAGCCACCGCAGGCCAGACAAACACCAGGCCGAGCAGGGCCAGGCCGGGCCAGGGGGCGUCGGCCUCGGGGAUUGGAGGCCGCAGGGCAGGAGCUUCUGUUUCUGCAGCGCCAACGUAUGCCUGCUGCCCGACUCUCUGGCCAGGUUCAACAACCUGUCGGACACGCACAGGAGAGCCCGGGAGGUGGGGAAGAGGAUCCGCAACGGGGCCAGUCGGCCUCAGAUCAAGAUCUACAUCGACUCGCCGACCAACACUUCCAUCAGCGCGGUGUCCUUCAGCAGCCUCGCCACAGGAUUCCGCCGCACCUCCUCUCUGGACCAGCGUCCAGACCAAACCCACACCACCAACGGACCCGCCGAACCCGAACCCGUCGCCGAGUGCCCAAUCCACACCGCGGGUGCCGCCGACUGCCCCGUGCACCCCUCUGCAGGAGACCAGGGCCCUGAAUGCCCCGUGCACCCCUCUGCAGGAGACCAGGGCCCUGAAUGCCCCCUUCACCCCGACGCAGCAGCAGACUGCCCCCUCCACCCCGUGGGGACCGGCGGCAGCUCGGACUGCCCCGUUCACGCCUCGGGGGAGGCUCCAGACUGCCCCUUGCAUUCCACGGGAGCUCAAGAUGGCCACGGCCUCCACGACUGUCCGGUGCACGGGGAAGGGACCCAGACGAAGCCGUCCUCAGACUGCCCGCUUCACGCCUCACGGGUUCAAAUCAGCAUCAGCGCCCCAGAGCCGGACCCACAGGAGGAGGAGGCCGAAACGGGGAACCAUCGGCCCGUGGAGGCCGGAGACACGGGCAGCAUGACGGCCUCCAGGGAAUCCCUCGCCCGUUACCACGGCGGCGACGGUGGCGUCGGCGUAGCAUCCAACAAUACUCUCUCUCACGUCCCCCGCACGUCAGUCUUCAAACGCCCCGGGAGAAAACGCCGCCACGGAGACGAGACGUUCGACCACGACAUCUCCGCCUUUUUCCCCGCCAACUUGGAUUUUCUGGCUCUACAGGAAGUGUUUGACCACGGGUCGACCACCAGACUGCGGCGUCAGCUGCACCGCUACUUCCCCUACGUGCUGAGUGACGUUGGCCGGUACGGCUGGAAGGGAUGCUGCUCGAGCUUCAAAUUCCUGAACAGCGGGCUGAUGCUGGCCAGCCGCUACCCAAUCCUGGACGCGCGGUUCGAGUGCUACCCCAACGGGAGGCGGGAGGACGUCCUGGCAGCCAAGGGUGCGCUGUUCGCCAAGGGGGCUGCUCUGGUUGUAUAGAAGUCCAUGCUCCAUGUGCUACGGCUGCAUUCUCUCUCCUGGCCACCAGGGGGCUCCUCUGGUUGUAUAGAAGUCUAUAUCGUGACUCUACUUCCCUCUUGAUGUUUUCCCUCAGUAAACAUUAGUCAGACCAUAAAGCGGGGGACGCUUUAGGGGCGGAGCUACAGGUGAUUGACAGGUCUCUAACAGACAUCUCACUCCUACACACGACCAAUAAG